rnacentral:rRNA from 1 species
ACGUAGGGUGCAGGCGUUAAUCGGAAUUACUGGGCGUAAAGCGUGCGUAGGCGGUUUGUUAAGACAGGUGUGAAAUCCCCGGGCUUAACCUGGGAACUGCGCUUGUUACUGGCAGACUGGAGUGUGGCAGAGGGGGGUGGAAUUCCAGGUGUAGCAGUGAAAUGCGUAGAUAUCUGGAGGAACACCGGUGGCGAAGGCGGCAUCCUGGACCGGCAUUGACGCUGAGGCGCGAAAGCCAGGGGAGCAAACGGGA